GACGAACGCUGGCGGCGUGCCUAAUACAUGCAAGUAGAACGCUGAAGGAGGAGCUUGCUUCUCUGGAUGAGUUGCGAACGGGUGAGUAACGCGUAGGUAACCUGCCUGGUAGCGGGGGAUAACUAUUGGAAACGAUAGCUAAUACCGCAUAAUAGUAGAUGUUGCAUGACAUUUGCUUAAAAGGUGCAAUUGCAUCACUACCAGAUGGACCUGCGUUGUAUUAGCUAGUUGGUGGGUUAACGGCUCACCAAGGCGACGAUACAUAGCCGACCUGAGAGGGUGAUCGGCCACACUGGGACUGAGACACGGCCCAGACUCCUACGGGAGGCAGCAGUAGGGAAUCUUCGGCAAUGGACGGAAGUCUGACCGAGCAACGCCGCGUGAGUGAAGAAGGUUUUCGGAUCGUAAAGCUCUGUUGUAAGAGAAGAACGAGUGUGAGAGUGGAAAGUGCACACUGUGACGGUAUCUUACCAGAAAGGGACGGCUAACUACGUG
rnacentral:rRNA from 1 species